AACGAACGCUGGCGGCAUGCCUAACACAUGCAAGUCGAACGAGACCUUCGGGUCUAGUGGCGCACGGGGGCGUAACGCGUGGGAACCUGCCCUUAGGUUCGGAAUAACUCCCCGAAAGAGGUGCUAAUACCGGAUAAUGUCUUCGGACCAAAGAUUUAUCGCCUUUGGAUGGGCCCGCGUUGGAUUAGCUAGUUGGUAGGGUAAAAGCCUACCAAGGCGACGAUCCAUAGCUGGUCUGAGAGGAUGAUCAGCCACACUGGGACUGAGACACGGCCCAGACUCCUACGGGAGGCAGCAGUGGGGAAUAUUGGAAAAUGGGCGAAAGCCUGAUCCAGCAAUGCCGCGUGAGUGAUGAAGGCCUUAGGGUUGUAAAGCUCUUUUACCCGGGAUGAGAAUGACAGUACCGGGAGAAUAAGCUCCGGCUAACUCCGUG
rnacentral:rRNA from 1 species